GACAGAGGGUGCAAACGUUUGUUCGGAUUUACUGGGCGUAAAGCGCGUGUAGGCGGCUUUGCAAGUCGGAUGUGAAAGCCCACGGCUCAACCGUGGAAGUGCAUCCGAAACUGCAUGGCUUGAGUCUCGGAGAGGAAGGUGGAAUGCUUGGUGUAGAGGUGAAAUUCGUAGAUAUCAAGCAGAACACCUGCGGCGAAGGCGGCCUUCUGGACGAUGACUGACGCUGAGACGCGAAAGCGUGGGGGAGCAAACAGG
rnacentral:rRNA from 1 species